AUUGAACGCUGGCGGCAGGCCUAACACAUGCAAGUCGAGCGGAAGCAGGGAUCUUGCUCCUGAAGUCAGGGGCGGAGGGGUGAGUAGUGCCGAGAAAUCUGCCUGGGAGUGGGGUAUAACGGCCGGAACCGGGCGCUAAUACCGCAUACUUCCUGGAUGAGAGCGGGGGGGAUCUUCGGACCUUAUGCCAUCGCGUGAUUCCAGGUCGGAUUGGCUGGUUGGUGGGGUGAAGGCCUACCAAGGCGACGAUCCGUAACUGGUCUGAGAGGAUGAGCAGUCACACUGGAACUGAGACACGGUCCAGACUCCUACGGGAGGCAGCAGUGGGGAAUAUUGGACAAUGGGCGCAAGCCUGAUCCAGCCAUGCCGCGUGUGUGAAGAAGGUCUUCGGAUUGUAAAGCGCUUUAAGUUGGGAGGAAGGGCAGUAAGUUAAUACCUUGCUGUUUUGACGUUACCAACAGAAUAAGCACCGGCUAACUUCGUG
rnacentral:rRNA from 1 species